GACACGAUGACACGGCGUCAAUUCGAGUUCAGUAACGCACAAACGAUUCGCUACGCCGUUGUGUCAUAGUUCUUUGUAUUGAGUCACUCCACCACAAUGGAGAAAGAGGAAGGAGCAGCAACCAGUCGUCGUCUUCUCUCCCCUCCGUUUCAUCUCAGCCGCCCUCCUCCUGGUUGGUCAUUCAGGCGUGAAUAACACCGCCGUGAAGAUCACAGUGUCAUCUGCAAACACCAUAGUCCACGGAGACUCCUGCCUGAUCUCGUCCGUCAACCUGUCCAUCACCAUUGUAAACCAGAAAAACCUUUUA